rnacentral:SRP_RNA from 1 species
AGGUUGCCUGCACUAAGUUCCACAUCACUAUGGUGACCUCCUGGGAGCCGGGGCCACCAGGUUGCCUAAGGAGGGGUGAACUGGCCCAGGUCAGAGAUGGGGCAGGUCAAAGCUCCCAUGCUGAUCAGUAGUGGGACUGCACCUGUGAAUAGCCACUGCACUCCAGCCUGGGCAACAUAGCGAGACCGUGUCUCUU